rnacentral:rRNA from 1 species
CGCGCGUAGGCGGCUAAUUAAGUCAAAUGUGAAAUCCCCGAGCUUAACUUGGGAAUUGCAUUCGAUAUUGGUUAGCUAGAGUGUGGGAGAGGAUGGUAGAAUUCCAGGUGUAGCGGUGAAAUGCGUAGAGAUCUGGAGGAAUACCGAUGGCGAAGGCAGCCAUCUGGCCUAACACUGACGCUGAGGUGCGAAAGCAUGGGGAGCAAACAGGAUUAGAUACCCUGGUAGUCCAUGCCGUAAACGAUGUCUACUAGCCGUUGGGGCCUUUGAGGCUUUAGUGGCGCAGCUAACGCGAUAAGUAGACCGCCUGGGGAGUACGGUCGCAAGACUAAAACUCGAAUGAAUUGACGGGGGCCCGCACAAGCGGUGGAGCAUGUGGUUUAAUUCGAUGCAACGCGAAGAACCUUACCUGGCCUUGACAUAGUAGGAACUUUCCAGAGAUGGAUUGGUGCCUUCGGGAACUUACAUACAGGUGCUGCAUGGCUGUCGUCAGCUCGUGUCGUGAGAUGUUGGGUUAAGUCCCGCAACGAGCGCAACCCUUUUCCUUAUUUGCCAGCGAGUAAUGUCGGGAACUUUAAGGAUACUGCCAGUGACAAACUGGAGGAAGGCGGGGACGACGUCAAGUCAUCAUGGCCCUUACGGCCAGGGCUACACACGUGCUACAAUGGUCGGUACAAAGGGUUGCUACCUAGCGAUAGGAUGCUAAUCUCAAAAAGCCGAUCGUAGUCCGGAUUGGAGUCUGCAACUCGACUCCAUGAAGUCGGAA